UUAAGCGACUAAGCGUACACGGUGGAUGCCCUGGCAGUCAGAGGCGAUGAAGGACGUGCUAAUCUGCGAUAAGCGUCGGUGAGGUGAUAUGAACCGUUAUAACCGGCGAUUUCCGAAUGGGGAAACCCAGUGUGUUUCGACACACUAUCAUUAACUGAAUCCAUAGGUUAAUGAGGCGAACCGGGGGAACUGAAACAUCUAAGUACCCUGAGGAAAAGAAAUCAACCGAGAUUCCCCAGUAGCGGCGAGCGAACGGGGAGGAGCCCAGAGCCUGAAUCAGUGUGUGUGUUAGUGGAAGCGUCUGGAAAGGCGCGCGAUACAGGGUGACAGCCCCGUACACAAAAAUGCACAUAUUGUGAGCUCGAUGAGUAGGGCGGGACACGUGGUAUCCUGUCUGAAUAUGGGGGACCAUCCUCCAAGGCUAAAUACUCCUGACUGACCGAUAGUGAACCAGUACCGUGAGGGAAAGGCGAAAAGAACCCCGGCGAGGGAGUGAAAAGAACCUGAAACCGUGUACGUACAAGCAGUGGGAGCCUCUUAAUGGGGUGACUGCGUACCUUUUGUAUAAUGGGUCAGCGACUUAUAUUCUGUAGCAAGGUUAACCGAAUAGGGGAGCCGAAGGGAAACCGAGUCUUAACUGGGCGUUAAGUUGCAGGGUAUAGACCCGAAACCCGGUGAUCUAGCCAUGGGCAGGUUGAAGGUUGGGUAACACUAACUGGAGGACCGAACCGACUAAUGUUGAAAAAUUAGCGGAUGACUUGUGGCUGGGGGUGAAAGGCCAAUCAAACCGGGAGAUAGCUGGUUCUCCCCGAAAGCUAUUUAGGUAGCGCCUCGUGAAUUCAUCUCCGGGGGUAGAGCACUGUUUCGGCAAGGGGGUCAUCCCGACUUACCAACCCGAUGCAAACUGCGAAUACCGGAGAAUGUUAUCACGGGAGACACACGGCGGGUGCUAACGUCCGUCGUGAAGAGGGAAACAACCCAGACCGCCAGCUAAGGUCCCAAAGUCAUGGUUAAGUGGGAAACGAUGUGGGAAGGCCCAGACAGCCAGGAUGUUGGCUUAGAAGCAGCCAUCAUUUAAAGAAAGCGUAAUAGCUCACUGGUCGAGUCGGCCUGCGCGGAAGAUGUAACGGGGCUAAACCAUGCACCGAAGCUGCGGCAGCGACACUAUGUGUUGUUGGGUAGGGGAGCGUUCUGUAAGCCUGUGAAGGUGGCCUGUGAGGGUUGCUGGAGGUAUCAGAAGUGCGAAUGCUGACAUAAGUAACGAUAAAGCGGGUGAAAAGCCCGCUCGCCGGAAGACCAAGGGUUCCUGUCCAACGUUAAUCGGGGCAGGGUGAGUCGACCCCCUAAGGCGAGGCCGAAAGGCGUAGUCGAUGGGAAACAGGUUAAUAUUCCUGUACUUGGUGUUACUGCGAAGGGGGGGACGGAGAAGGCUAUGUUGGCCGGGCGACGGUUGUCCCGGUUUAAGCGUGUAGGCUGGUUUUCCAGGCAAAUCCGGAAAAUCAAGGCUGAGGCGUGAUGACGAGGCACUACGGUGCUGAAGCGACAAAUGCCCUGCUUCCAGGAAAAGCCUCUAAGCAUCAGGUAACAUCAAAUCGUACCCCAAACCGACACAGGUGGUCAGGUAGAGAAUACCAAGGCGCUUGAGAGAACUCGGGUGAAGGAACUAGGCAAAAUGGUGCCGUAACUUCGGGAGAAGGCACGCUGAUAUGUAGGUGAAGCGACUUGCUCGUGGAGCUGAAAUCAGUCGAAGAUACCAGCUGGCUGCAACUGUUUAUUAAAAACACAGCACUGUGCAAACACGAAAGUGGACGUAUACGGUGUGACGCCUGCCCGGUGCCGGAAGGUUAAUUGAUGGGGUUAGCGGUAACGCGAAGCUCUUGAUCGAAGCCCCGGUAAACGGCGGCCGUAACUAUAACGGUCCUAAGGUAGCGAAAUUCCUUGUCGGGUAAGUUCCGACCUGCACGAAUGGCGUAAUGAUGGCCAGGCUGUCUCCACCCGAGACUCAGUGAAAUUGAACUCGCUGUGAAGAUGCAGUGUACCCGCGGCAAGACGGAAAGACCCCGUGAACCUUUACUAUAGCUUGACACUGAACAUUGAGCCUUGAUGUGUAGGAUAGGUGGGAGGCUUUGAAGUGUGGACGCCAGUCUGCAUGGAGCCGACCUUGAAAUACCACCCUUUAAUGUUUGAUGUUCUAACGUGGGCCCCUUACCGGGGUUGCGGACAGUGUCUGGUGGGUAGUUUGACUGGGGCGGUCUCCUCCUAAAGAGUAACGGAGGAGCACGAAGGUUGGCUAAUCCUGGUCGGACAUCAGGAGGUUAGUGCAAUGGCAUAAGCCAGCUUGACUGCGAGCGUGACGGCGCGAGCAGGUGCGAAAGCAGGUCAUAGUGAUCCGGUGGUUCUGAAUGGAAGGGCCAUCGCUCAACGGAUAAAAGGUACUCCGGGGAUAACAGGCUGAUACCGCCCAAGAGUUCAUAUCGACGGCGGUGUUUGGCACCUCGAUGUCGGCUCAUCACAUCCUGGGGCUGAAGUAGGUCCCAAGGGUAUGGCUGUUCGCCAUUUAAAGUGGUACGCGAGCUGGGUUUAGAACGUCGUGAGACAGUUCGGUCCCUAUCUCGCCGUGGGCGCUGGAGAACUGAGGGGGCUGCUCCUAGUACGAGAGGACCGGAGUGGACGCAUCACUGGUGUUCGGGUUGUCAUGCCAAUGGCACUGCCCGGUAGCUAAAUGCGGAAGAGAUAAGUGCUGAAAGCAUCUAAGCACGAAACUUGCCCCGAGAUGAGUUCUCCUGACUCCUUGAGAGUCCUGAAGGAACGUUGAAGACGACGACGUUGAUAGGCCGGGUGUGUAAGCGCAGCGAUGCGUUGAGCUAACCGGUACUAAUGAACCGUGAGGCUUAACCU
rnacentral:rRNA from 1 species